CAUCCUCCAAGGCUAAAUACUCCUGACUGACCGAUAGUGAACCAGUACCGUGAGGGAAAGGCGAAAAGAACCCCGGCGAGGGGAGUGAAAAAGAACCUGAAACCGUGUACGUACAAGCAGUGGGAGCCCCACCACUAAGCCAGUGGUGAACUCCACAUACGCAUCCUUUGCUGAGGAUACGGUUAACGGAGCGAAAGCGACGUUCAACCUCAAAAGAAGCAGAGGGGGCUUAGUGGUGGGGUGACUGCGUACCUUUUGUAUAAUGGGUCAGCGACUUAUAUUCUGUAGCAAGGUUAACCGCAUAGGGGAGCCGGAGGGAAACCGAGUCUUAAUUGGGCGUUAAGUUGCAGGGUAUAGACCCGAAACCCGGUGAUCUAGCCAUGGGCAGGUUGAAGGUUGGGUAACACUAACUGGAGGACCGAACCGACUAAUGUUGAAAAAUUAGCGGAUGACCUGUGGCUGGGGGUGAAAGGCCAAUCAAACCGGGAGAUAGCUGGUUCUCCCCGAAAGCUAUUUAGGUAGCGCCUCGUGAAUUCAUCUCCGGGGGUAGAGCACUGUUUCGGCUAGGGGGCCAUCCCGGCUUACCAACCCGAUGCAAACUGCGAAUACCGGAGAAUGUUAUCACGGGAGACACACGGCGGGUGCUAACGUCCGUCGUGAAGAGGGAAACAACCCAGACCGCCAGCUAAGGUCCCAAAGUCAUGGUUAAGUGGGAAACGAUGUGGGAAGGCCCAGACAGCCAGGAUGUUGGCUUAGAAGCAGCCAUCAUUUAAAGAAAGCGUAAUAGCUCACUGGUCGAGUCGGCCUGCGCGGAAGAUGUAACGGGGCUAAACCAUGCACCGAAGCUGCGGCAGCGA
rnacentral:rRNA from 1 species